AAUAUACUCCCUCUGUCCCAAAAUAAGUGUCUCAAGCUUAGUAUAAUUUUGUACUAAAGUUAGUACAAAGUUGAGACACUUAUUUUGGGACGGAGGGAGUAUUAU
rnacentral:pre_miRNA from 1 species